GGAGGAGUCGCAUAGCACGGUCCAUUGCGGGGGGUUGCUAACUCCCUGAGCCGUAAGGCUCGCGCAGGUUCGAAUCCUGUCUCCUCCG
rnacentral:tRNA from 1 species